UAUAGACCUUUCCUAUGGGCCUACCUUAUGUUUUCUGGAGAUGAACUCUCCAGUUUCCUGCCUGGAGGCUAUAGGCACAGUUAUUAAUUUACUUUUUUUCCAAGAUCUUUGGAAGCAUUUAGAUCAAGGGUAUUGGAAGGAUCAUAGGUUAAGAAUGUACUCUGGUACCUUUGUGUAUUUAUUGACAUGACAGAAUAACCCAUUUAAUCCCUUGUUAAGAUUUUUUUGAGAUAUUAUCAUGAACUCCUUUAUUGGGAAAUAUAUCCUAUAUGACUAUGAAGAAUUAGUCUUUUAUGUGACUCCUUGCAUCUAUGUGCCACAGUUUUAUUCUUAUGUCCCUACAUAUUUGCAUAAGUGAGGUUGGUCUAGAAAGGGUUAACAAAUGAUGGCCUCAAAGCAAACCAGCACACAGAAUAUUUGGUACGGCCCACAAGCUAAGAAUCGGUUUUACAUAUUUAGAGGGGUGUAAAAAUAAAAGAAUACGCCACAAACCGCAUGUGACCUACAAAGCCCAAAAUGAAAGGUGCUACGUAAAUACAGGUCAUACGCCAAUAAUCAUUUCAGUUUAACACACUAAGUAUCUGUUUUGAGAAGAUACUGUAUAGACAACGUCAGUCCCUUUCCUUAGGUGAUUUGUAGUCCAAACCACACCACCUCUCGAUCUACCACCUCCCCCAAAUGCAUCUUCCCAGGUCUAUCAACAGGACCAAAGUUAUAGAAGUCCUUGGAAGACCGUGUAUGGAGACCUUCAACGACUCCUUUACAUUGGAGUAGAGAGAAGAUGUUUUUAUUUCUUUGGAGUGGAUUAAAAUAACAUGGAGAGGCAAACUUGGAAAGCCCCGUGAUGUUCAACUAUGAGAAGCUGCUUCCCUCAGGGUUUGUACAAGGAACGAAUUAGACCGUGCACAAAGGAGAACUUUGCAAACAUAAGGAGAUUGAGCAGGCAGAGGGAAGGGCUGCUCCUGCCUGACUUAUGUUGCCACCGGAAGAGACCCUGUCCUGCAAAUCGCACGGGUACCAGCUGCUCUGUAGUCGCUCAGACUGGAAAUGGAGUCAUCAUACUUGCCACAGAAGACUCUUUCACUUCUACAUGGAAGCUUACAGAGGAUAAGCAAUUUGCCUGAACGUCACAAAGAAUAAACGGUCAGCAAACUUUUGUUUUCCCA
rnacentral:lncRNA from 1 species